AACGAACGCUGGCGGCAGGCCUAACACAUGCAAGUCGAACGCCCCGCAAGGGGAGUGGCAGACGGGUGAGUAACACGUGGGAACCUUCCCUAUACUACGGAAUAGCCCAGGGAAACUUGGAGUAAUACCGUAUACGCCCGAGAGGGGAAAGAUUUAUCGGUAUAGGAUGGGCCCGCGUAGGAUUAGCUAGUUGGUGAGGUAAUGGCUCACCAAGGCGACGAUCCUUAGCUGGUCUGAGAGGACGACCAGCCACACUGGGACUGAGACACGGCCCAGACUCCUACGGGAGGCAGCAGUGGGGAAUAUUGGACAAUGGGCGCAAGCCUGAUCCAGCCAUGCCGCGUGAGUGAUGAAGGCCUUAGGGUUGUAAAGCUCUUUUGCCGGGGACGAUAAUGACGGUACCCGGAGAAUAAGUCCCGGCUAACUUCGUGCCAGCCGCCGCAGUAAAAC
rnacentral:rRNA from 1 species